GCCUCACAUCACUCCCCCUCCCCUCCCUUUCCAUCUCUUUUCUCUCUCACCACAACUCUCUUUCUUUGUGUGAUACACACAUACACACACACACAAACAGGUAUACAUUUUUCACUUACAACCUACAUAUUUUAAUUUCCAUCAACGCCAUGUUGGAUUAAACACUAAUACUGUACAUAAACAAAUCGAUGUAGGAGUAGCCUAUAGACAUUGUGUUCUGUGCAUUGAACAUUGUAGCCAAGCCUAUCUAGCCUUUGGUAUCUUUGGUAUCCAUACUCAUAAAUCCACCUGUAUCCUUGGCCAUUAAACUCGAGAAAAUUGAAAGUACACUUGCAACAAGUUGCUCAUAGUGCAGAAAAAAAAGAUGUUAUAUAGUUAUCAUUCAUAACAGCCUGUCCUACACACAUUUUGCCUGUUUAAUGUGUGCAUUUGCAUUGUAGUAUCUGAGUUUACCUUUGCAAUGAAACAGAAACCAUUAUUACUGGGGUGGUCUAAAGGCAUACUAAAGAGAUGCGUUUGGGGAUGUCAAUAUGCCUUUAAAGCUCAGCGAGUUUUUGUCCUAGAAUCAUAAAAAGAUCACCCCCAGAAACCUUUAAUCUUCUACAUAUAUGCUACAAAAACAUCAAGGCAUGUCAGACUACCGAAAAAAGUCUAACAGGCCUUAGUCCCCUAGAUGCAUUCAUGGUGAUUAGCUAACUCACAGCAACAGAUUGUGGAGAAAUACAGCACGUUUCCAAGUUAAGGGUCCUUUCAUAGACAUUAAGGGUUUUAACACGAUGGAUAUCACUGAUUGAUAUCAGUAUAUUCGGAGAAAUGAAAACAACUUUGCAGUUCAUUACCUUAGAAAAAUGUCCCUCAACUCAACAAGGUGGCACUAUGAAAAUGUUGCAUAUUACAUUAUAGAGUAUACUCUACUUGGUGCUGCAGGCCUCUGUGUGUGUGUGUGUGUGUGUGUGUGUGUGUGUGUGUGUGUGUGUGUGUGUGUGUGUGUGUGUGUUAUAUAUAUAUGUGUGUGUGUGUGUGUGUGUGUGUGUGUCUGUGUGUGUGUGUGUGUGUGUGUGUGUGAAUAAGUUCAGAUUUGCAUAAUGAAUGUAUUUAUCUGUCCAUGCAUGUGUGUGUGUGGGGGGGGUGUGAGUGUGAGUGCACACGCAUGCAUCUGCCUGUUUAUUUAGUGAAGUCCAGCCCAAUAGGUUCCGAUCAGCACCGCCAAGGACACACUGGAUCCCUAGUUUCCCUCCCGUGGAGAGUCCAACCAGCACCACCAAGGACACACUGGAUCCCUAGUUUCCCUCCCGUGGAGAGUCCAACCAGCACCACCAAGGACACACUGGAUCCCUGGUUUCACCCCUGUGGAGAGUGCUUGUCCAGACACUUGUGAUAGCUCGCCGUGCUGUCAGGUAGGCACCUUCAGAUAAGAGCGCCGACUCGGAGACUGAAUGUAAAAGCUCACUGUCUCAUCCAUCAAACUGUUCUCUGGAGUAGGACUGAGGUCACAGCAUGUCCAGGCCGAGGGCUUGGAAUAAGGGAAGAUUGAGGCCUGGCUUAGGUGAACUGUGGCUGACUGUUCAGUGGGAUAGAAAGGGGAUUUGUUUGUUGCUGUACGCGUUACAAUAAAUCUUAUAGAGAACCCUCUAGAAUUCUUCAGUGAUCUUUCUUUCUAACAUCUCGUUGUUUUAUAUUCCACCUCUGUAUCAACCUAUGACCAACCCAGCCAAUUCUCUUUUUUUCAGACGGUGUCCGGAAAGGCUAAAUGCAACUUCAUUCAUUAAUUAAAUGAAUAGAUUAAUAGAUUUAUUAAUUCUAUUUUGUAAUGUAAUUUUAGCCUGUCUUGCAGAGGGCCACAGAGCACUCAGGUGCC
ensembl:lncRNA